AACGAACGCUGGCGGCAUGCCUAAUACAUGCAAGUCGAACGAGAUCUUCGGAUCUAGUGGCGCACGGGUGCGUAACGCGUGGGAAUCUGCCCUUGGGUUCGGAAUAACUUCUGGAAACGGAAGCUAAUACCGGAUGAUGACGUAAGUCCAAAGAUUUAUCGCCCAAGGAUGAGCCCGCGUAGGAUUAGGUAGUUGGUGAGGUAAAGGCUCACCAAGCCGACGAUCCUUAGCUGGUCUGAGAGGAUGAUCAGCCACACUGGGACUGAGACACGGCCCAGACUCCUACGGGAGGCAGCAGUAGGGAAUAUUGGACAUUGGGCGAAAGCCUGAUCCAGCAAUGCCGCGUGAGUGAUGAAGGCCUUAGGGUUGUAAAGCUCUUUUACCCGGGAUGAUAAUGACAGUACCGGGAGAAUAAGCGCCGGCUAACUCCGUG
rnacentral:rRNA from 1 species